rnacentral:rRNA from 1 species
CCUACGGGAGGCAGCAGUGAGGAAUAUUGGUCAAUGGGCGGGAGCCUGAACCAGCCAAGCCGCGUGAGGGAAGAAGGUACAGCGUAUCGUAAACCUCUUUUGUCAGGGAACAAAGGCGGGGACUAGUCCCCGGAUGAGGGUACCUGAAGAAAAAGCAUCGGCUAACUCCGUGCCAGCAGCCGCGGUAAUACGGGGGCUGCGAGCGUUAUCCGGAUUUAUUGGGUUUAAAGGGUGCGCAGGCGGCCUGUUAAGUCAGCGGGAAAAGCCCGGGGCUCAACCCCGGCGAGCCGUUGAUACUGGCGGGCUGGAGUUGGGGAGAGGUACGCGGAAUGCGCGGUGUAGCGGUGAAAUGCUUAGAGAUCGCGCAGAACCCCGAUUGCGAAGGCAGCGUACCGGCUCCACACUGACGCUGAGGCACGAAAGCGUGGGUAUCGAACAGGAUUAGAUACCCUGGUAGUC